rnacentral:rRNA from 1 species
GUGAACGCUGGCGGCAGGCCUAACACAUGCCAGUCGAACGGCAGCACAGUAAGAGCUUGCUCUUACGGGUGGCGAGUGGCGGACGGGUGAGGAAUACAUCGGAAUCUACUUUUUCGUGGGGGAUAACGUAGGGAAACUUACGCUAAUACCGCAUACGACCUACGGGUGAAAGCAGGGGAUCUUCGGACCUUGCGCGAUUGAAUGAGCCGAUGUCGGAUUAGCUAGUUGGCGGGGUAAAGGCCCACCAAGGCGACGAUCCGUAGCUGGUCUGAGAGGAUGAUCAGCCACACUGGAACUGAGACACGGUCCAGACUCCUACGGGAGGCAGCAGUGGGGAAUAUUGGACAAUGGGCGCAAGCCUGAUCCAGCCAUACCGCGUGGGUGAAGAAGGCCUUCGGGUUGUAAAGCCCUUUUGUUGGGAAAGAAAAGCAGCAGGUUAAUACCCCGCUGUUCUGACGGUACCCAAAGAAUAAGCACCGGCUAACUUCGUG